GUUGGUGAUUGUGAUGACUUAAAUCUUUUUUCCCCAGCAGAUCGACCCUGUUGACUUUACUUGAACUAAGCCAAUUUUGUCUGAAUCACCAGU
ensembl:snoRNA